rnacentral:rRNA from 1 species
GUCCUGGCCCUAAACGGUGUUCACUUGGUGUGCGGGAGUCGACCCCUGCGUGCCGCAGCUAACGCGAUAAGUGAACCGCCUGGGAAGUACGGCCGCAAGGCUAAACUCAAAGAAAUUGACGGGGCCCGCACAAGCGGUGGAGCAUGUGGCUUAAUUCGAUGCAACGCGAAGAACCUUACCUGGCCUUGACAUGCUGGUGGUAGAACCCAGAAACGGGGACGACUCCUCGCAAGAGGAGAGCCAGCACAGGUGCUGCAUGGUUGUCGU